CGGGGGGCAGCUGCGGGGCCGGAGCACACGGGGCGGCGGGUGCUGCUGCCGCGCCGCCCGCGGUGACCUUGUGCACCGGGCAGGGGCCGGGCGAGGCUGGCAGAGUGGCCGUGCCCAGCUGCGAGGACGCUGUAGUGCUCUCGCCCCUCAGGGGCUGCGGCGUUCGGCCCUGUGCGGGCUGUGCACAGACAGCCGGGGGGCGCCAGGGCUCGGGGGCAAGCCGUGCACGGCGCCGUGGCCCGGCCUGAGCGGCGCGAUGAUGGGUCCAGAAGAGUGGAAUGAAUGAAGCCUGGAUUCCUGUCCAUUUGUCUCCUAAUAGCUCUCCAUUGCAAUCAGCUGUCUCUUGCCUCAUGUUUCUUAUGUCCUCAACCCUGCUGGAGACACAAUGUGCUGUACUGAGCCUUAGCUGACUACUGUAGCAGUUCUUGUGGAAGAGCAUGUGGCAUCCUCCAUGAGAGCUGCGGUUGCAGAGGAAAAUAAAGAGGAAAGGUGUCAUCAGGACAGCUGCCGCUUUGGGCCACAGCUGCCUUUACUGUGAACAGCCCUGCUCUGGAGAAAAUCACCUGGGAAAAAGUGGACACGUUGUGAAAAGUCAGGGAAAAAGUUAAUGUUACCAAAAUACAUCUUUUAAGGUCUAAAUAUGUUUCAUCUAACAGUUAUGUUUUUCUGUAAGAAUAUGGAAAUGGGGUUAGUGGAACAGGAUAUUUCAAAUUGAAAGCUUUGGAUUAGAUGUCUUAGGAGACACCUCACCCUGAGAAGAAGGAGUUCUAGCUUCACCUGUAACCUUUACAUGGGUCAGGGGCUUUGAACUGAUACACAUAGUGUUUUUUCUUUUUUUUUUUCAGAGUAGAUCGCUCUGGGUGAAGAGGAGAUGUUUUUACUAAGUUUUCUAUCAGAUGCGCUUGAUGCUGUUGACUGUAACAGGACAACUGGUAAAGUGGAUGUGGUGGCUUGAGUUUCGGCUCCAAAUUGGAGCCUGAAACUGUUACUCCAGGUUAUGUUGCCUGAGGCUGAUCUUAGAAAGCAUUCCCAGUUGUUCUCUCUCAGCACUUCCUUCAUCAGAUUUGAAAGAGUUUAUUUUAUUUUAGUGUCCACAUCAUAUGAACUUGAAUGAGAAGUUUAGUCUAGGAAAUAGUAAGCCAAGACAUCAUCUAGAAAAGGGCUCUCUAUGGUGUUACCUGGCCACUCUUUCAAAGGGCUCAUGGUAUCUCUGGAAUGUUGCCUCUCCUUCAUGCUUUGGAUUACCCAAGGGAAAUUUGUUUUUUGUUUGCAACAUCCUGACUAUUAUCCCUGAAGUGUGAAUUCACAGAUACUGUGAAUUCACCAUAAAUACCAUAAAGGCUGUGUUUCCAUAACAUACUCUACUGGACUUGUCUACACAGUAGGGAGUUUUCAUUCUUGAUUAAAUGUAUAGCCACAGGCUAAGGUGUGAAAACUGCAAUUAAAUAUGAAAAUGUAGCUUGUGUAUUAAAAUAUUCCUGAUAAAGAGCCAGUACAAUAAAAAAUGUUGCACUGCACAAUUAAAAUGCUUUGCCUUUGGGUCUGAGUAAGUGCAAAAUAUUUUUUUGUCAUGACUAACAAGUAAUGGGUAAAUUAUCAAUGCAACAUUGCUGGAACAUUAACUACAGUUUAAACAAGGGAGCUCUCCCUCUCUCCAUUUAUUGUGGCAAAAUCUCAUGGUAUGUUAAACAAAAUCUGCAGUUCUGCUAUGCAGGAUUAAGCAUGUUUUCUUGUUACUGUAAUUCUUUUCAUAUUGUUUAUUACUCUAACCACUUUGGUAUUUUCAAACUCAAUUUUCAAUGUAGUGCUUAUCUAAUAGUCACUAAAAUGAAAAAACAAAAUCAUCAAAAUUAUGGUGGUACUUGAUUUCCAAGAUUUCUGUCAUA